AGCGGCGAUCGAACGGGGAGAAGCCGAUUAGUACUAAUGUAGAAGAACAGCGUGGGAAAGCUGACCGUAGUAGGUGAUAGUCCUGUAUUCGAAACAUUAGCAUUAACAUAUUAAGUAGAGCGGGGCACGAGAAAUCCUGUUUGAAGAUGGGGGGACCAUCCUCCAAGGCUAAAUACUCGUUGCCGACCGAUAGUGAACCAGUACCGUGAGGGAAAGGCGAAAAGAACCCCGGAGAGGGGAGUGAAAUAGAUCCUGAAACCGUAUGCGUACAAGCAGUGGGAGCAGACUUUGUUCUGUGACUGCGUACCUUUUGUAUAAUGGGUCAGCGACUUAUAUUCUGUAGCAAGGUUAACCGUUUAGGGGAGCCGUAGGGAAACCGAGUCUUAAUAGGGCGAUUAGUUGCAGGGUAUAGACCCGAAACCGAGUGAUCUAUCCAUGAGCAGGUUGAAAGUGCCGUAACA
rnacentral:rRNA from 12 species